AUUGAACGCUGGCGGCAGGCCUAACACAUGCAAGUCGAACGGUAACAGGAAGCUGCUUGCUUCUUUGCUGACGAGUGGCGGACGGGUGAGCAAUGUCUGGGCAACUGCCUGAUGGAGGGGGACAACUACUGGAAGCGGUUGCUACUACCGCAUAACGUCGAAAGACCAGAGAGGGUGACCCCCGGGCCUCUUGUCUUCGGCUGGGCCCAGUUGGGAUUAGCUAGUAGGUGGGGUAACGGCUCCCCUAGGCGACGAUCCCUAGCUGGUCUGAGAGGAUGACCAGCCACACUGGAACUGAGACACGGUCCAGACUCCUACGGGAGGCAGCAGUGGGGAAUAUUGCACAAUGGGCGCAAGCCUGAUGCAGCCAUGCCGCGUGUAUGAAGAAGGCCUUCGGGUUGUAAAGUACUUUCAGCGGGGAGGAAGGGAGUAAAGUUAAUACCUUUGCUCAUUGACGUUACCCGCAGAAGAAGCACCGGCUAACUCCGUG
rnacentral:rRNA from 1 species